CAAAUAUUGAUCUCUAUCCAUCAAAACCACGUUGCCCCCUUUAUCAGAGGGUUUAAUUACAACUUCAACAGCUGUAGUUAAUUCUUUUAAGGCUCGUCGCUGAGGUAUAGUCAGAUUGUCAUGUCUAGUUCUGGAAAUAGGAAGAGGUUCAAUAGCUGUAGUGGUCAUUUGGAUGAAUAAAUCGACGCUCGACACUUCACUUAAGUUUGGAGUAAACCAACUCUCUGGUUGUAAGUUGGUAAGUGGAGCUAUAGAAUCCUGUUCAUCCAGCAGUGAUAAUAA